AAGACUGUAUUUUCAGGGAUCGUUUCUGUAGUAUGUUACUAGAGAAGUUUUUCUGAAUGUGUAGAGCACCGUUAAUAAAAAGAAAAUAAAAUGA
rfam:Gorilla gorilla gorilla genomic chromosome, chr1, whole genome shotgun sequence